rnacentral:rRNA from 1 species
UGUGAGACUGCGGACGGCUCAGUAUAUCAGUUAUAAUCUGCUCGAUUGUCAAGGUUAUUGGAUAACCGUGGGAAAUCUAGAGCUAAUACAUGCACCCUUGGCAUGUGGGCAACCAUGUGUCUUGCAUUUAUUAGAAAGAUACCAACCGUGUGAGCAAUCACAUGUGGUGAAUCUAGAUAACUGUGCAGAUCGUAUGGCCUAGAGCCGGCGACAUUUCGAUUGAAUUUCUGCCCUAUCAACUUUGCUGCAAGUCUAGUGUACUUGCAUGGUGUUUACGGGUAACGGGGGAUCAGGGUUCGAUUCCGGAGAGGGAGCCUGAGAAACGGCUACCACAUCCAAGGAAGGCAGCAGGCGCGCAAAUUACCCAAUCCAGACAAUGGGAGGUGGUGACGAAAAGUACCGAAGGACAGCCUUUGGUUGUCCGUUUGGAAUGAAAACAAUUUAAGCAAUUGAAUUGAGUAACGACUGGAGGGCAAGUCUGGUGCCAGCAGCCGCGGUAAUUCCAGCUCCAGUAGCGUAUCUCAACGUUGCUGCGCUUAAAACGCUCGUAGUUGGAUCACGGACUGUGGGUAGGUGGAUGUCGAGAAAUCUGUGGUGAAGUCCGCCGAGUAUCUAGGGGCAUAUUCUAUGCCUUCUAGUCGGAGGUUGCAGAUUUUUUCGGCAUUAUUAGCCGACCCAUAGUAAUUACACGUGAGGAUGACCAUUGAUCUUCAGUGAAUCGAUGGGCGUGUCUCACGGGGUGUGCCUUGAGUAAAUCAGAGUGCUUAAAGCAGGCUUACGCUUGAAUGUUUUUAGCAUGGAACGAACAAUCGUGUAGGGUGUGUGUUGAUAAUAGUACUUGCUUGGGUCCGCCCUUCAUUUACUACAACACACGACACCAACCGCCAAUUACGGAUGUUGGUUCCGUAUUGGGGUAGUGAUUAAGAGGAGCGGUUGGGGGCAUUGGUAUUUGGCAGCGAGAGGUGAAAUUCUUGGACCUGCCAAGGACUAACAAAUGCGAAGGCAUCUGUCCAGACCGUAUCCAUUAAUCAAGAACGAUAGUGAGAGGUUCGAAGACGAUCAGAUACCGUCCUAGUUCUCACUGUAAACUAUGCCGACCCGGAAUCAGUUUGGAGCUACAUUUUGAUGCUUGAGGUUGGUUCCCCUGGGAAACCUGAAGUUUUUCGGUUGCGGGGGGAGUAUGGUCGCAAGGCUGAAACUUAAAGGAAUUGACGGAAGGGCACCACCAGGGGUGGAGCCUGCGGCUUAAUUUGACUCAACACGGGAAAACUUACCUGGUCAGGACAUCAAUAGGAUAAACAGACUAAGAGAUCUUUUUUGAUAUGGUGAUUGGUGGUGCAUGGCCGUUCUUAGUUCGUGGAGUGAUCUGUCAGGCCAAUUCCGGUAACGAACGAGACCACAUUCUCCAUUUGACGAGUCGGAGAAGGCGCCGGCCCCGUUAAUUUUUGGCAACAAAAGUUANCUUGAUCGACGCUGAGGGCUCAAUGUGAAUUGAUGGUGUUGAAAGUAGAGUUGGAGUGGCAACACUUCAGUUUUAUGGGAGGCAUCUCCCGGUUUGCAUUCCCUCCGACCUAACAGUGCACGCUUCAUCCGGAGUGUGUAUUGUAUCAUGGAGAGACAACGGAACAUAUAACAAAAUCCGAGGAAGUGUGGCUAUAACAGGUCUGUGAUGCCCUUAGAUGUUCAGGGCCGCACGCGCGCUACAAUGGUGAUGACAACGAGUUUCUGGAUCGAAAGAUUCGGGUAACCUUUUAAUCAUCACCGUGAUGGGGACCGAAGUUUGUAAUUACUUCGCGAAAGAGGAAUCCCUAGUACCUGCAAUUCAUGAGAUUGCGGGGAUUUAGUCCCUGCCCUUUGUACACACCGCCCGUCGCUACUACCGAGUGAAUGGUGUCAUAAUGCCUUGGGAGCGGAUUUCUAAUCAGGCCUCGUGCUUAAUUGGAAA